rnacentral:rRNA from 1 species
UACGGAGGAUGCAAGCGUUAUCCGGAAUGAUUGGGCGUAAAGCGUCCGCAGGUGGCUGUGUAAGUCUGCUGUCAAAGAGCAAAGCUCAACUUUGUAAAGGCAGUGGAAACUACACGGCUAGAGUGCGUUCGGGGCAGAGGGAAUUCCUGGUGUAGCGGUGAAAUGCGUAGAGAUCAGGAAGAACACCGGUGGCGAAGGCGCUCUGCUAGGCCGCAACUGACACUGAGGGACGAAGGCUAGGGGAGCGAAUGGG